UAAUUAUCGGGAGCAGUGUCUUCCAUAAUUA
rfam:Salmo salar isolate Sally breed double haploid chromosome ssa03, whole genome shotgun sequence.